rnacentral:rRNA from 1 species
AGUUCCAACGGUACAAGAUGAGCAUGCGUCCCAUUAGCUAGAUGGUAAGGUAACGGCUUACCAUGGCCACGAUGGGUAGGGGUCCUGAGAGGGAGAUCCCCCACACUGGUACUGAGACACGGACCAGACUCCUACGGGAGGCAGCAGUGAGGAAUAUUGGGCAAUGGUCGCAAGACUGACCCAGCCAUGCCGCGUGCAGGAUGACGCAUCUAUGGUGUGUAAACUGCUUUUGUACAGGAAGAAACACUCCCUUGCGAGGGAGCUUGACGGUACUGUAAGAAUAAGGAUCGGCUAACUCCGUGCCAGCAGCCGCGGUAAUACGGAGGAUCCAAGCGUUAUCCGGAAUCAUUGGGUUUAAAGGGUCCGUAGGCGGUUUUAUAAGUCAGUGGUGAAAUCUGGUCGCUCAACGAUCAAACGGCCAUUGAUACUGUAAGACUUGAAUUACUUGGAAGUAACUAGAAUAUGUAGUGUAGCGGUGAAAUGCUUAGAGAUUACAUGGAAUACCAAUU